GCCCGGCUAGCUCAGUUGGUAGAAUAUGAGACUCUUAAUCUCAGGGUCGUGGGUUAGAGCCCCACGCUGCGUG
rnacentral:tRNA from 1 species